rnacentral:rRNA from 1 species
ACCACGAGAGGUGGGGACUCAGGCGGGACGCCGGUGACAAACCGGAGGAAGGUGGGACGGACGUCAAGUCAUCAUGGCCCUUAUGUCCUGGGCUACACACGUGCUACAAUGGCCGGUACAGAGCGCAGCGAGGCCGCGAGGCGGAGCGAAUCGACUUAAAGCCGGUCCCAGUACGGAUUGGAGUCUGCAACCCGACUCCAUGAAGUUGGAAUCGCUAGUAAUCGCGCAUCAGCAUGGCGCGGUGAAUACGUUCCCGGGCCUU